UUUUUCUUGCUAGAACGAGGAGGAGACAUCUCCAGAGGUUGUGUGGACAGUUUAGAGGAUCUCUUGAUUGAGAUCUAACUGUGAACGAAUCUGGAGUGGAGAACUGGAAGACGCAAGAAGUUGAUUGAAGAAAAAUUAUGAGGGCGAGGUUCUUAUUUAAUCAUAGCAAGCCUAGACGAUGGAGGCUCAUGGAGAAGGCCAUGGAUUGGCCUACGGAGAUCCAUGGAGAAGAGGCUCGAAGGACGGAACCGACGACGGAGAUGAGGAAAUAAAAAGUGAUUAUGAGGCCUAUAAUAUGUUAAUAGGUUGAAUAACUUGUAACAAUCUAGGCCUACCUUUAGACUAACCAUAGAUCCAGUGUUAGUUCAGUGGGUCGCAUAGGUAUUUGGACUUGUGAUCAUCCAACAGGGGCGUGUUAGGCUUUUAUGUUUGCGUGCAAUGCAUUUAAGUAAUAUUUUUAA